rnacentral:lncRNA from 1 species
AUGGUCAUCACGAACGGGAUCAAGCUUGGGACUCGGUUAGCAGUGGAUAAGGAUGGAUCAUGCUGAGAUGCAUAGAGGAAGCGGACGGGAUGAAGUUGAAUCACGGAAAAAUUGCUGGGCUGCGAUCUGGAUGGUUCGGACGUUUGGAAAUCUCAGCUGCAGGUUCGGACGCUGCUGAAACGCGGAAUGGCUUGCGGCUGAGAGGUGAUGAGGAUGAAUGAGGAUCAAUGGGUUUGUUCUUUGGAUGCGGAAGGGAAACUGAAGCUUGGACGUGAGAGGAUCUCGGCUGGAAUUAAUCCCGAAAUAGGGAAUAGGAGGAAUCUGAUGACGUUGGGAUUCACGAAUGGUUGGGAACGAAUGAAUCCUGAGUUCGGUGGGCGAUGAAGACGGGAUCCUAAGAUUUGUUGAACUCGACUGGAUUGGUUUGAGACGUUGAAGAUUUGCUGGGAGUGAGCGCACGGGAUACUGAAGCUUAUCCUGUGGAUGAUGGAAGCUGCGAACUGGAGGAAGGUUGGCUCGAUUUGAGAGAAGAAAUCUGGAAGUGAGAAUCUCGGAUUCCUGUUAAUAUGGAUGCUGGAGUCAAUCUGGAAUGCUGGGGUGGUAAUCUUUGAAUUUAUCCAUGACUCUGUUCCGCUGAAGCAGGGGAUGAUGUGGAGGAAAUCCGGAAAUGCUGG